GAUUAAAUGAGGAAACUAUAGGUUUAUGCAUCUGUAGCAGGCAGAGCUCCAAGUACAUCCCUCUUCAGCAGAAUGUUAUACAUAAAGGACAAGAGUGUUACUUCCUCAGCUUGAAAAGACAGAAGAAAAAGACUCCAGGAUCAAGGAAGCCCAGAAACUUCUAACAUUCCCUUCAUGUGUCUCUCUUCAAGCAGUUUAUCACUUUCUUUUAGCUGAACAAUAUAUAUUUUUUUUUGCUGAUGUGAAUUUUUCCAUGUAUUUUACCACAUGCAGCUUUUCAACAAAUGUUUCAUUUUGUUGGUGCCUAAGAGAUGACAUAAUUGCUUACUAAGACAUUAGGAAAGAAUGCAUUGCUUUCUCCCUGAGCAUGCAAGAAGCCAAGGAAAUUCCUGGUGUGUGUCUACUUUAGUUGAGCUAGAGUGGGACUGCUAAUGUGAAAUGUUCUAUCUUUGGUACUUAGCUCCUGCUGCAUCUAGUUGUACUGGUAUCAAAUCCCUACUGCAUUUCAGUGAUUUCGUACAGUAUCUUCCAAAUACUCAGUUAAAUAUAAACCACUGAAUUAUCACUUUCUGUGCUUUUCCC
ensembl:lncRNA